AUAAAUUUCCUCAGCUUUCUGGAGUGCAGUUCCCUGCAUAUACUAAUGAUCCUACAUGCUGUCUUGGAUCGAGUGUAGCAACGACUACCCUGUGCGUCGUGUCACAUCUGUAGAACUGCACGGCAUCAAUCUAAGGGGAUCAAUUCCAGAAUUCCUUGGCUGCUUGCCGUGGUUAACAUAUCAGAAUUUAGCAUACAAUUAUUGUAAUUAGCGGACGGGUGCCAUACUCACUGGUUUAUUUAAGAGAAUCAAUUUGAUUGUAACAGGCAAUUCCGGAUUAUGUCAUGACUCAACAAGCUAUUCGUGCUCAUCGCCAGAUGUCUCAAAAAGAGCCAGAAAAAAGCUCGUCAAAAUACUUGCUGGAGUGAUUCCGGCAAGUAUCCUUACUGUGGUUGGGGCGAUCUGCGCAUGUUGCUGCCGAAAGAAAAAGGUGCCUUCCGCUUCUGCUGCAGCAGGUGUCUUUGACCAAAAUUUGACCAAACUUCAUAUUCUUUUCGACAAUUUGCCCUUUUUAAUUCAUUAUUUAUUAUGUAUUUCGGCAGUAUGAUUUUCUUCUCUUAAAUACUUAUA